CCUACGGGAGGCAGCAGUGGGGAAUAUUGGACAAUGGGGGGAACCCUGAUCCAGCGACGCCGCGUGAGUGAAGAAGUAUUUCGGUAUGUAAAGCUCUAUCAGCAGGGAAGAAAGAAAUGACGGUACCUGACUAAGAAGCCCCGGCUAACUACGUGCCAGCAGCCGCGGUAAUACGUAGGGGGCAAGCGUUAUCCGGAUUUACUGGGUGUAAAGGGAGCGUAGACGGCGAUGCAAGUCUGAAGUGAAAGGCGGGGGCCCAACCCCCGGACUGCUUUGGAAACUGUAUGGCUGGAGUGCAGGAGAGGUAAGUGGAAUUCCUAGUGUAGCGGUGAAAUGCGUAGAUAUUAGGAGGAACACCAGUGGCGAAGGCGGCUUACUGGACUGUAACUGACGUUGAGGCUCGAAAGCGUGGGGAGCAAACAGGAUUAGAUACCCUUGUAGUC
rnacentral:rRNA from 1 species